GUUUUUAUAGUUUAAUUUAAAACAUUGGUCUUGUAAAUCAAAAUUAAGGAUUUUUCUUUAAAAACU
rnacentral:tRNA from 1 species